GUGGGGAAUAUUGGACAAUGGGCGAAAGCCUGAUCCAGCCAUGCCGCGUGUGUGAAGAAGGUCUUCGGAUUGUAAAGCACUUUAAGUUGGGAGGAAGGGCAGUAAGUUAAUACCUUGCUGUUUUGACGUUACCGACAGAAUAAGCACCGGCUAACUUCGUGCCAGCAGCCGCGGUAAUACGAAGGGUGCAAGCGUUAAUCGGAAUUACUGGGCGUAAAGCGCGCGUAGGUGGUUUUGUAAGUUGGAGGUGAAAUCCCCGGGCUCAACCUGGGAACUGCCUCCAAAACUGCAUGACUAGAGUACGGUGGAGGGUAGUGGAAUUUCCUGUGUAGCGGUGAAAUGCGUAGAUAUAGGAAGAAACACCAGUGGCGAAGGCGACUACCUGGACUGAUACUGACACUGAGGUGCGAAAGCGUGGGGAGCAAACAGGAUUAGAAACCCUUGUAGUCC
rnacentral:rRNA from 1 species